rnacentral:rRNA from 1 species
CCUACGGGAGGCAGCAGUGAGGAAUAUUGGUCAAUGGACGAGAGUCUGAACCAGCCAAGUAGCGUGAAGGAUGACUGCCCUAUGGGUUGUAAACUUCUUUUAUAUGGGAAUAAAACGUUCCACGUGUGGGAUUUUGUAUGUACCAUAUGAAUAAGGAUCGGCUAACUCCGUGCCAGCAGCCGCGGUAAUACGGAGGAUCCGAGCGUUAUCCGGAUUUAUUGGGUUUAAAGGGAGCGUAGGUGGCUUGUUAAGUCAGUUGUGAAAGUGUGCGGCUCAACCGUAAAAUUGCAGUUGAAACUGGCAGUCUUGAGUACAGUAGAGGUGGGCGGAAUUCGUGGUGUAGCGGUGAAAUGCUUAGAUAUCACGAAGAACUCCGAUUGCGAAGGCAGUUCACUGGACUGCAACUGACACUGAGGCUCGAAAGUGUGGGUAUCAAACAGGAUUAGAUACCCCUGUAGUC